UUGUCCGCCCAGCAGACUUCUGCACACCCCGGUCUCUAGUGUGGCUGGGGAUCCCGGUUGGACACAAACUAAUACUGUCUGUUUAGGAGGGCAGCACAAAGAUGUAGUGCUAUUCCCUUAAAGGCUUGACAGGACAUA